rnacentral:rRNA from 1 species
UACGGAGGGUGCAAGCGUUAAUCGGAAUUACUGGGCGUAAAGCGUACGUAGGCGGCUUGUUAAGCAAGAUGUGAAAUCCCCGGGCUCAACCUGGGAAUGGCAUUUUGAACUGGCAGGCUCGAGUUCUGAAGAGGGUGGUAGAAUUUCCAGUGUAGCGGUGAAAUGCGUAGAUAUCGGGAGGAAGGCCGGUGGCGAAGGCGGCCUCCUGGGCCUGCACUGACGCUGAGGCGCGAAAGCGUGGGGAGCAAACAGG